GUGGGGAAUAUUGGACAAUGGGCGAAAGCCUGAUCCAGCCAUGCCGCGUGUGUGAAGAAGGUCUUCGGAUUGUAAAGCACUUUAAGUUGGGAGGAAGGGCAGUAAGUUAAUACCUUGCUGUUUUGACGUUACUGACAGAAUAAGCACCGGCUAACUUCGUGCCAGCAGCCGCGGUAAUACGAAGGGUGCAAGCGUUAAUCGGAAUUACUGGGCGUAAAGCGCGCGUAGGUGGUUUUGUAAGUUGGAGGUGAAAUCCCCGUGCUCAACCUGGGAACUGCCUCCAAAACUGCAUGACUAGAGUACGGUAGAGGGUAGUGGAAUUUCCUGUGUAGCGGUGAAAUGCGUAGAUAUAGGAAGGAACACCAGUGGCGAAGGCGACUACCUGGACUGAUACUGACACUGAGGUGCGAAAGCGUGGGGAGCAAACAGGAUUAGAAACCCGGGUAGUCC
rnacentral:rRNA from 1 species